AUAUAGUGCAAUGCAUAGCACGUUGGACCUCUAAUCCAAGGGUCAUGGGUUCAAAUCCCACCUGAAAUG